rnacentral:rRNA from 1 species
UUGCAGUCUGCAACUCGACUGCAUGAAGCUGGAAUCGCUAGUAAUCGCGAAUCAGCAUGUCGCGGUGAAUACGUUCCCGGGCCUUGUACACACCGCCCGUCACACCAUGGGAGUUGGAAGCACCCGAAGUCGGUGACCUGACCGUAAGGAGGGAGCCGCCGAAGGUGAAGCCAGCGACUGGGGUGAAGUCGUAACAAGGUAAC